rnacentral:rRNA from 1 species
AUUGAACGCUGGCGGCAGGCCUAACACAUGCAAGUCGAGCGAGCGGCGGACGGGUGAGUAAUGUAUGGGAAACUGCCCGAUGGAGGGGGAUAACUACUGGAAACGGUAGCUAAUACCGCAUACUAUCGGAUGUGCCCAGAUGGGAUUAGCUAGUAGGUGGGGUAAAGGCUCACCUAGGCGACGAUCCCUAGCUGGUCUGAGAGGAUGACCAGCCACACUGGAACUGAGACACGGCCCAGACUCCUACGGGAGGCAGCAGUGGGGAAUAUUGCACAAUGGGCGCAAGCCUGAUGCAGCCAUGCCGCGUGUAUGAAGAAGGCCUUCGGGUUGUAAAGCACUUUCAGCGGGGAGGCGUUACUCGCAGAAGAAGCACCGGCUAACUCCGUGCCAGCAGCCGCGGUAAUAC